GCACAAGCGGUGGAUGAUGUGGUUAAUUCGAUGCAACGCGAAAACCUUACCACCUUUGACAUGGCAGGAAUCCUUAGAGAUAGAGGAGUGCUCGAAAGAGAACCUGCACACAGGUGCUGCAUGGCUGUCGUCAGCUCGUGUCGUGAGAUGUUGGGUUAAGUCCCGCAACGAGCGCAACCCUUGCCAUCAGUUGCUACGAAAGGGCACUCUGAUGGGACUGCCGGUGACAAACCGGAGGAAGGUGGGGAUGACGUCAAGUCCUCAUGGCCCUUAUAGGUGGGGCUACACACGUCAUACAAUGGCCGGUACAAAGGGCAGCAAACCCGCGAGGGGGAGCCAAUCCAUCAAAGCCGGUCGUAGUCCGGAUCGCAGUCUGCAACUCGACUGCGUGAAGUCGGAAUCGCUAGUAAUCGUGGAUCAGCAUGUCACGGUGAAUACGUUCCCGGGUCUU
rnacentral:rRNA from 1 species